GUGCACAUACUCAUUUUGAGAAAGUUUUGUAGUCAAAGUUUUCCAGUAGUAUUGUGCGAGAAAAACCGUUCUACUGCCACACGGGUACUGGCCUAUAAGCUGUAUCGGUUCCAAAGUUGUUCGAACAUUU
rnacentral:snoRNA from 1 species